rnacentral:rRNA from 1 species
GAUUUCUGACGAAACUGCUAGCUGGCCCGCCACGUCAUGUGUGUGAGUGCCGGCUUGGCGUUUGUCAUCCGUUCGAAUGAUAUGCUCACUGCCCUUCACUGGGUUGGUGCACGCAUGUUUUCGAUCUUUUACUUUGAAAAAAUUAGAGUGUUUCAAGCAGGCAUGUUUUGCUAUGAAUACAUUAGCAUGGAAUAAUAAUUAGGACUUUCGGUUCUAUAUUGUUGGUGUUGUGGAGCUGAAGUAAUGAUUGAUAGGGAUAGUUGGGGGUGCUAGUAUUCAAUGGCCAGAGGUGAAAUUCUCGGAUUCGUUGAAGACUAACUUAUGCGAAAGCAUU